rnacentral:rRNA from 1 species
AUUGAGAGUUUGAUCCUGGCUCAGGACGAACGCUGGCGGCGCGCUUAACACAUGCAAGUCGUGCGGUACCGAUGGCAAGUCCUUACAGACGAGCUUUCGGUACAGCGGCGGACGGGUGAGUAACACGUGAGUAGCUGUCCUAAGGAGGGGGAUAACGCCUGGAAACGGGUGCUAAUACCCCAUAUGCCUCGCAAGAGGUGAAAGUGUACUCGUUACAGCCUUAGGGUGCGCUCGCGGCCUAUCAGCUAGUUGGUGAGGUAACGGCUCACCAAGGCUAAGACGGGUAGCCGGCCUGAGAGGGUGUACGGCCACACUGGAAUUGAGAUACGGUCCAGACUCCUACGGGAGGCAGCAGUGGGGAAUCUUGGGCAAUGGGCGAAAGCCUGACCCAGCGACGCCGCGUUGGGGAUGAAGCCCUUCGGGGCGUAAACCCAUGUUGUAGGGGACGAAGAAAGUGACGGUACCCUACGAGAAAGCCCCGGCCAACUACGUGCCAGCAGCCGCGGUAAAACGUAGGGGGCGAGCGUUGUCCGGAAUUACUGGGCGUAAAGGGCACGCAGGCGGUACGCCAGUCGGAGGUGUAAAGUUACGGCUCAACCGUGACCUUGCAAUCGAUACUGGCGUACUGGAGUGCGGGAGAGGGAAGUGGAAUUCCCGGUGUAGCGGUGAAAUGCGUAGAUAUCGGGAGGAACGCCAGUGGCGAAGGCGGCUUCCUGGCCCGCAACUGACGCUCAUGUGCGAAAGCCAGGGAGCGAACCGGAUUAGAUACCCGGGUAGUCCUGGCCGUAAACGAUGGGUGCUAGGUGUAGCGCGUCAAGCGUCUGUGCCGCAUUUACGCGAUAGCACCUCGCCUGGGGAGUACGUCGCAAGGCUGAACUCAAGGAUUGACGGGGGCCCGCACAAGCGGUGGAGCACGUGUUUAAUCGAUGC